UUGAAUAGUUUAUAAAUGCCCCUCUUUGCUC
rnacentral:piRNA from 1 species